GCUUCACUCCCACCUGACCACAGCCCUCCCUGGGCUCAUUUAAAGGCUAGCCUCCGAAGGAAGAACAUCUGCUGGCUGAAGGCUGCUUCCUGAGGAAGAGUGUUCUACAUCCAGAGAACCUGGUUGUAACGGGAAGGCUCUGACACUUGAAGGUUUCCCUAGCACAAGGCUUGAGAAUGAUCACCCACUGCCCCUGCAUGUGAAGAUUCACAGCAGAAAAUUCCUGUAGUUCCACUACAAGGUACAUCACCAUUUGGUUUCUUUUAAUGCUGGAGGAGCAGGGAUGGGUAACGCUACUGUUUGUUUGGAGAUGCAAUUAACCCAAGUGCAGAGGACUGCAGCAAGCCAAGAGAAUAACCUUAAAUCCAGGGGAAGUUAGGGGAACUUUAAAGCCAUCUGCAGCUCCAAUGGGUCCCUGCACACCCCUUUUGCUUACAGUUGCUAUGUCAGAAGUACUGACACCAGCCAGGAGUGUGCAGAAUUUUAGGCUUUGGUUUUUCUCAAAUGAAAAACCUUUAUCAUCCUCUCAAUUCCAGGCAUGUUCUAUCUGCAUUAAAUGGAGGUUCAUGGACUGCAAAACGAGUGUUUGAGUGUUUCAGCAUGUUUAUGCAUGUAUGUUUAUGCACUUGUAUUUAGCAGAAGCAGCUCCCAGAGAAGGAUCGGUCACUCAUCCAUACUUAGUGAAUAUAGGUAUGAGCCAAGGAAGGAAGUCAGAGUGCCACUUCUUAGCUGUGAGCAGUCAUCAGCUACAUGUUGUGAAAUAGGGGAUUUUAUGUUGGA